GCUGAGCAUCAUUUUCUGCACUUCUUUAUGUGUUUUCUCGAUGCUCUCCAGUCAAACUAUGCUGUUCUUCCAAAUGUCUGGAACGACCCAUUUUACUCACAUUUUCAGAGGAAAAAUGCACUACAACCAGCAAGUACAACAUUUUCUGUCUUUGUCCUUAAAUAAAGGCCGUCUCUAAGGG